AGCCUCGCAGACGCACCAAGAUUCAGAGGGAAGCACGAGGCGACAGGAACGAGAGGGAAGGAGGGAAAGGAGCAAGUCCUGGAAAGAGACAGAAAGAUGGAAGUGUGGAGGCGGGAAAGAGCGAGAGAAGCAAGGACAUAACAACCAUAGAAAAAAUGUGUUUGCUUUAUUGCAGUGGCCCCACCUACCCCUCCAUCCUGUUAAGGAGGCACAGUCCUAAGGAGGAGGGGUAGGAUCCCCUCCCUCAGCCACUGACACACACACUCCCUCCCUGGCUCACACACACACACACUGUGCACUGUGAGGGAGCAGUCGCUGAAGAGCUCUGGAUAGACCAUGCAAGGUUCUGCAGGUGUCCCACCCUUCUCUCCUCACACUGAUGCUUCAGAAGUGUAAAGAUGACGGGAGCAAGAAUGCACAAGAUCACGGGAGGCACGAGGACAUGCGGCAAAGGUCCCAGUGCUUGUUGAGGGUCAAAGGGGACAGGCUGGUGAGUGUUGACCUGAGUGAGAGCCCGCGGUGACCUCUGACCUCUAACUGGGUGUGCUGGCUGACCCUGGAGGAUACAGCCCAACAAUGGGAGGCACGUGCCUUGGCCUUGUCACCAUGGUAACGCAGGACCUUUUUGAAACGGUGCGGUGUGGGGGUCAAAGCUUGGUCUUUAUCCUGAUCUGUGUUAACCAUCUGCUGCCAAUUGACUCUUGUCGAUAUAACGUGUGUGUGUGUGUGUGUGUGUGUGUGUAACUGUGGGCUGACUGGGUAAUCUCUGCAGGCAACUGUGAUGGUGCUUUUUAUUCUCACAAUCACCUGGAGAGAUUCUGCAGUUUGUCUAAUUAUGCAUCAGAAAAAACGCCAUGCACCCAGAAUCUAAUCUCUUGAGUCUAUUUCACAAACCAGACAAGCUAUGAAGUGUUCAUUGAUAUUUUUCUUCCUUCCUGGGACACGUGCUGAGACCAUAUUGUUUACUGAAGGUUGGCUCAAAAACCGUCCGCCUACCUGAAACAGUGAUCAAAGAGGAUUUCACACUCGGGGCUUAAGGUAAUGAUCAUUGCACAAGAGACGAACUGUUUCCCUGUCACAGUUUUGCUUUAUCUUUCUUUGCCCGACUGUUACAAGUCAAAACAGUGAGUGAUUGGUUAAAAGAAGAAGGGGGGAAGAUUAUUGAAUUACAGUCCUGAAUAAGGGCCAACAGGUGCUGUCCACCUGGAAGAAAGCGUGUUUCACACUUUAUACUUAGCCUCUUUGAUGCUGUGCAAGCUGCACACUCAUGACAGAUAACCACCACCACCCUGAUC